UAGGUUUCCUGGGGAAGGAUAAUCCUCCCAUGGGUUAGUCGGAACCUAAGCCGAGGCUGAAAAGCUUAGGUGAUGGCAAGCAGGUUAAUAUUCCUGCACCGACGAGGGUGGCGUUGAAUCGAGCAGGGACGGAGAAGGGUAUGCUGAGCCUGGUGAUUGGAAAUCCAGGUUCAAGCCAGGCAGAGUUCGUAGGACCCGACAGGGACAAACGCGAGCUCAAUGCCGAGAGGUGAUGAGGUAAAGCUUCGGCUUUGUAACUCAGUGAUCCCAUGCUUCCAAGAAAAGCUGCGCGAGGAGCCUCUUCGUUGUCCGUACCGCAAACCGACUCAGGUGGGCGGGGUGAGUAUCCCAAGGCGCGUGAGAGAACACUGGUUAAGGAACUCGGCAAAUUGACACCGUAACUUCGGGAGAAGGUGUGCCCUUUGUUGUGAAGUCCGUACGGAUGGAGCGACGGGGGGUUGCAGAGAAACGGGGGUUGCGACUGUUUACUAAAAACACAGGACUCUGCGAACACGCAAGUGGACGUAUAGGGUCUGACGCCUGCCCGGUGCUGGAAGGUUAAGGGGAGUUGUCAGCGAAAGCGAAGCAGCGAACCGAAGCCCCAGUAAACGGCGGCCGUAACGAUAACGGUCCUAAGGUAGCGAAAUUCCUUGUCGGGUAAGUACCGACCUGCACGAAUGGCGUAACGACAUCCCCACUGUCUCAACCAGUGACUCAGCGAAAUUGUAAUCGCGGUGAAGAUACCGUGUACCCGCGGCAAGACGGAAAGACCCCAUGAACCUUUACUGCAACUUGACAGUGAAGCUCGGGACAGAUUGCGUAGGAUAGGUGGGAGGCUGUGAAGUCGGGAUUCUGGUCUCGGCGGAGCCAACGUUGAAAUACCACCCUGUUUGUUCUGGGCUUCUAACCCAGGCCUCUAAGCGAGGUCGGGGACACUGUCUGGUGGGCAGUUUGACUGGGGCGGUCGCCUCCUAAAAAGUAACGGAGGCGCGCGAAGGUUCCCUCAGGCUGAUUGGAAACCAGCCGUAGAGUGUAAUGGCACAAGGGAGCUUGACUGUGAGACCGACAGGUCGAGCAGGUGCGAAAGCAGGUCAUAGUGAUCCGGCAGUUCUGCAUGGAAGGGCUGUCGCUCAUCGGACAAAAGGUACUCUGGGGAUAACAGGCUGAUCGCGCCUGAGAGUUCAUAUCGGCGGCGCGGUUUGGCACCUCGAUGUCGGCUCAUCGCAUCCUGGGGCUGGAGCAGGUCCCAAGGGUUUGGCUGUUCGCCAAUUAAAGCGGUACGCGAGCUGGGUUUAGAACGUCGUGAGACAGUUCGGUCCCUAUCUGCCGUGGGCGGAGGAUACUUGAGAGGGUCUAACCAUAGUACGAGAGGACCUGGUUGGACGUACCUCUGGUGAUCCGGUUGUUCCGCCGGGAGCAUCGCCGGGUAGCUAUGUACGGAACGGAUAACCACUGAAAGCAUCUAAGUGGGAAGCCGGCCUCAAGAUGAGGUAUCCCGGGGCGUAAGCCCCCUGAAGGCCCCUCGAAGACUACGAGGUAAUAGGCUGGGUGUGGAAGCGCAGUAAUGCGUGGAGCUAACCAGUACUAAUCGGCCGUGAGGCUUGACCU
rnacentral:rRNA from 1 species